rnacentral:lncRNA from 1 species
UGGCCUCCACCUUCUCAAGAGUCAAGGUGCCACAUCCCCAUGGAGGUGGCCUCCAUCUUCCCAAGGAACAAGGUGCCACGUCCCCAAGGAGCUGGCCUCCACGUCCCCAUGGAGGUGGCCUCCACAUUCCUAAGGAGGUGGCCUCCAUGUCCUCAAGAGUCAAGACAUAAUGUCCCCAAGGAGGUUGCCUCCAAAUCCCCAAGGAGGUGGCCUCCUUGUCCCCAAAGAAGUAGCCUCCACGUCCCCAAAAGUCAAGGUGUCAUGUCCUCAAGUAGGUGGCCUCUAAAUCCCCAAGGAGGUGGCUUCCAUGUCCCCAAGGAGGUGGCUUCCAUGUCCCCAAGGAGGUGGCUUCCAUGUCCCCAAGGAGGUGGCCUCUAAAUGCCCAAAGAAGUAGCCUCCACAUCCCCAAGGAGGUGGCCUCCACAUCCCCAAAGAAGUGGCCUCCAUCUCCCCAAGGAGGUGGCCUCUACAUCCCCAAGGAGGCGGCCUCCACGUCCCCAAAGAAGUGGCCUCCAUGACCCCAAGGAGGUGGCCUCUACAUCCCCAAGAGUCAAGACACCACGUCCCCAAGGAGGUGGCCUCCACAUUCCUGAGGAGGUGGCCUCCAUGUCCUCAAGAGUCAAGAUGCCAGGUCCCCAAGGAGGUGGCCUCCACAUCCCCAAAGUAGCCUCCACGUCCCCAUGGAGCUGGCCUCCACCUCCCCAAGAGUCAAGAUGCCACGUCCCCAUGGAGGUGGCCUCCAGGUCCCCAAGAGUCAAGGUGUCACGUCCCCAAGGAGGUGGCCUCUAAAUCCCCAAGGAGGUGGCCUCCACCUCCCCAAGAGUCAAGGCGCCACGUCCCCAUGGAGGUGGCCUCCACAUUCCUAAGGAGGUGGCCUCCAUGUCCUCAAGAGUCAAGGCGCCAUGUCCCCAAGGAGGUGGCCUCCAAAUCCCCAAGGAGGUGGCCUCCUUGUCCCCAAAGAAGUAGCCUCCACAUCCCCAAAAGUCAAGGUGUCACGUCCCCAAGGAGGUGGCCUCUACAUCCCCAAGGAGGUGGCCUCUACAUCCCCAAGGAGGUGGCCUCCAUGUCCCCAUGGAGGUGGCCUCCAUGUCCUCAAGAGUCAAGACAUAAUGUCCCCAAGGAGGUGGCCUCCAUGUCCUCAAGAGUCAAGACAUAAUGUCCCCAAGGAGGUGGCCUCCAUGUCCCCAAAG